CUUUGCCUACGGGAGGCAGCAGUGAGGAAUAUUGGUCAAUGGGCUUACGCCUGAACCAGCCAAGUCGCGUGAGGGAAGACUGCCCUAUGGGUUGUAAACCUCUUUUGUCAGGGAGCAACGCCGGCUACGUGUAGCCGGACUGAGAGUACCUGAAGAAAAAGCAUCGGCUAACUCCGUGCCAGCAGCCGCGGUAAUACGUAGGGGGCAAGCGUUAUCCGGAUUUACUGGGUGUAAAGGGAGCGUAGACGGAGGAGCAAGUCUGAUGUGAAAAUCCGGGGCCCAACCCCGGAACUGCAUUGGAAACU
rnacentral:rRNA from 1 species